rnacentral:rRNA from 1 species
AGUGAACGCUGGCGGUAGGCCUAACACAUGCAAGUCGAACGGCAGCACAGUAAGAGCUUGCUCUUACGGGUGGCGAGUGGCGGACGGGUGAGGAAUACAUCGGAAUCUACUUUUUCGUGGGGAAAACGGAGGGAAACUUACGCCUAUCACGCAAUCUACCUACCGGGUUAAGCCGGGGGUCAUCGGCCCUUUUGCUGUUUCAUGUAGCUGUGUCCGGAUUAGCUAGUUGGGGGGGUAAGGGCCCACCAAGGCAACGAUCCGUAGCGGAUCUGAGAGGAUGAUCAGCCACACUGGAACUGAGACACGGUCCAGACUCCUACGGGAGGCAGCAGUGGGGAAUAUUGGACAAUGGGCGCAAGCCUGAUCCAGCCAUGCCGCGUGAGUGAAGAAGGCCUUCGGGUUGUAAAGCCCUGUUGUUGGGAAAGAAAAGCAGCAGGUUAAUACCCCGCUGUUCUGACGGUACCCAAAGAAUAAGCAACGGCUAACUUCGUG